CCAUGUUGCACACAAUCUCAAAGAGGUGAACUAUGUGACAAGAGAACUUUUUAUUUUCAUGCGGAUUGUUAAAACCUUUGCUCUUCAUAUUGUCAUACAUUUGAUAAAAUUCCUAUUAAUAGAUUAAAAGAUUUCCUAUCCAAAGCAAUAAAAUCCCUUCCCAUAUCCCUUCACAGAUUUGGUGGGAGCCAAGAUUUUCUUGACAAAAGCAGCAAAGCACAGCCGUCACAGACAAUAGCUGCAAGCUCAAGCACCAGUGUCAUUAAGACAUCAACAGCCGACACCAAAACAAUCACACCUGGGUCAAGCAAGCCUCCACUCCCUACUAAACCGGAAAGUCCAGGAAGGAGCAACUUCACAGACAGAGUUUUCUCUGCCAACAAAUCAGGUCUUCAAAGAUACUCAUCUCCACAGAGUAAAACAACCACAGUGGCAAAGGACACCACACCCAGCAAGGAGGCUACAAAUGGGGUCAAGAUCAAGCCCACAAGUCCCAUUUUCUCUUAUAAUACAAAGAGCAGGUAGGCAACCAUGGACAUUCAGAUAUGUACUCCAGGAGAAGAGUCUUCGAUAUUAUACCAUUCUUAUGCCACAUAACAUAAUUCAUAUCAGAAAAGUAUGUGCAGAAAUGUAUUUAAUUCUGUAUUCACCCGACAUCUUUCCCUCAUUCAGUGCUGAGAGUA
ensembl:lncRNA